AUGCACGCUGGCGGCGUGCUUAACACAUGCCAGUCGCACGGUGAAGGCGGAGCUUGCUCUGCUGGAUCAGUGGCGAACGGGUGAGUAACACGUGAGCAAUCUGCCCCUGACUCUGGGAUAAGCGCUGGAAACGGCGUCUAAUACUGGAUACGAGCUGCGAAGGCAUCUUCAGCAGCUGGAAAGAACUUCGGUCAGGGAUGAGCUCGCGGCCUAUCAGCUUGUUGGUGAGGUAACGGCUCACCAAGGCGUCGACGGGUAGCCGGCCUGAGAGGGUGACCGGCCACACUGGGACUGAGACACGGCCCAGACUCCUACGGGAGGCAGCAGUGGGGAAUAUUGCACAAUGGGCGAAAGCCUGAUGCAGCAACGCCGCGUGAGGGACGACGGCCUUCGGGUUGUAAACCUCUUUUAGCAGGGAAGAAGCGAAAGUGACGGUACCUGCAGAAAAAGCGCCGGCUAACUACGUG
rnacentral:rRNA from 1 species